AUCAUGUUUUCCUUUCAUUUCCUCCCUUUCUCUUGACCUUUGACCCCUCUCUGCAGGAGAUCCAGGAGUGUCUGAGGAUAAUCGAGUUGUGUGCAAGGGAUCAACACUUUGCAGACUUUGUGGGUCAGACUCACAUAUUCCUGGAGCAGAGAGGAAGCUCGGCGACAUAACGGGCAACCAGCCGCGACCUCAAAAAACCUGCCUUUGUUUGCGACUGGAGAAAGAGGACCACGCCUUCCUCGCUUCUGUUUGACUCGUGGACCCGACGUGAAGGUGACGAUUUUAUUCUGCUACUCUGCCGGACGGUUUGCCUGUCUCACUGACUCCGUAAAGAACUUUCAUGAACUUUUUCAUCAUCGGAUUUCCGUUGUUAAGGCUUCACUCACUGCUGCUUUACCGCUGUCUUAUGUUUCCACCCGGCGUUGUUUCAUUGUUAACGUCAGCUCGAGGGUUUCUUUAGCAUCUUCAACAGUAGGUCUUCACCAUCACUAAAACACUGAGGUCGGUUUGUCAAAGUG